UUUGGCCUACGGGGCGCGCAGUGAGGAAUAUUGGUCAAUGGGCUUACGCCUGAACCAGCCAAGUCGCGUGAGGGAAGACUGCCCUAUGGGUUGUAAACCUCUUUUGUCAGGGAGCAACGCCGGCUACGUGUAGCCGGACUGAGAGUACCUGAAGAAAAAGCAUUGGCUGACUCCGUGCCAGCAGCCGCGGUAAUACGGAGGAUGCGAGCGUUAUCCGGAUUUAUUGGGUUUAAAGGGUGCGUAGGCGGAAUGCCAAGUCAGCGGUAAAAUCGCGGGGCUCAACCUCGCUCCGCCGUUGAAAUUGG
rnacentral:rRNA from 1 species